rnacentral:tRNA from 1 species
AAGGGUGUGGCUCAGUGGUAGAGCGCGUGCUUAGCAUGCAUGAGGUCCUCGGUUCAAUCCCCAGUGCCUCCA